rnacentral:lncRNA from 1 species
AUUUUCACACUGAAAUAUCUAGCUUCCUUUAAAAUGUAGUAAAUAAUAUCUAAUAAUCAAGAACUAGCAGAGACAAUUUAAAAACUACGGGGAAAAUGAAAUCGAAAUUUAAAUAAGACCUGUGAUGGCAAAAAAAAAAAAAAAAACAGUUGUAGUAAACCGAGACCAGUUGCCUCUGGUGUGAACACCUGUGUGUUGUUUAUUUUUGUGAUUCCCAAAUUAUUAAUCAGUUCUCUCCUGCAUACAUUUGAAUGUGACUUAGGGGAGGGAGUGACAGCUGGGACUGGGAGCUUCGCUGUCAUCAUCCUGUCCCCCCCAUUGAUUGCUGCUGCGCCCCCCAUCCACCCAGUGCCAAGCCUGGAGACACAGGGGAAAGGUAGCCCAGGCUGUGCUCACAAGGUGAAUCUGCAUGGUAGGAAAAGCUCUGGGAGCUUCUGGUUGAGAUGAGAAACAAGAGGGCAGCCUGUGUUCACCCCAGAAGACAAGGUCAUGUUGGCCAGAUAACAGUGAAGAAGCUGAAGAACCGGAAAGCACGGUCCAAAGACCACUCCACCCGCUGAGCCCACAUGCCCGCUGCUGUGUGGAGGGAAGAGGGCAGGGGUCCCAAGGCAGACUUUGGACAGACUUUGCACAUGGGGAUUUUGAGGAGCCCAUCCUGGCAAAUCUAACUGUGAGCAUCUUCAGCUUUGCACACUACCCCUACGGAGCUGCUGCUGUCCUCAGCCUCCUAAGAACUUA